AAAUGGAUAAAGAAAUCAGUGUCCAAAUGAUAGAUUAUGACUCAGGAAUAGGAAAAAAGGAGCCACUGGUAGAUGGAACAGCAUGGAUGGAUCGCAGCAGCAUGGAGACCUUGUGGGACCACAGAAAGAAGAAAACAGUCAUGCAGGGGACCUCACUUCCUGCCUUUCCCAGCUGAUGUUGUUGGUAUGAGUUUCCUGUUCCUGCUACAGUAUGUUACUGACAAACAUGGUGGUUGAAAACAAUACAAGAUUGUUGUCUUAUAGUUUGGGGGUUAGAGGUCCUAAAAUCAAGGUAUCAGCAAGGCUGCAUUCCUUCUGGAGGCUCUAAGGGAGAACCUGUUUCCCUGCCUUUGCUGGCUACUGUAGGCUGCCAGCACUCCUUGGCUUGUGGCCCCUUCCUCCACCCUCCCAGACAGCAGUGCAGCAUCUUCAAACCUCUGUCGCUGAACUCUGGUUCCUUUGUUACAUCUCCUUUUCAGACUCUGACUUUCUUGUCUCCUUCUUUCCCUUAAAAGCACUCUUUUGAUUAAAUGGGCUCUUCAGGAUGAUUUCCCACCUCAAGAUCCUUAACUGAAUCACAUCUUCAAAGUUCCUUUUGCCAUAAAAGGUCACAAAUUCGUAAGUUUCAGGGAUUAGAACAUGAACUUCUUUGGGAGGCUACUAUUUUGCCUGCUAUACUAUCCUUAAGCCUCUCCUCCUGGGAGGUCUCUCUUUAGACCAUUCAAAAUCCACAUCACAGGAGGCUGAAUCGCUUACCCACUCAGGCCCCAUUUUCUCUCUCAGGAAUUGCUUCUUGCCCUGGUGAAUGACAACUCCCUGCUUCCUGCCCUUGGACACUGCCCUUCCUAUGGGGGUGAAGGCCUUUGCCUGCCUUAUGGAUAACUAUAGAAAGACAAAUGGCAAGGCCAACAUCUAAUCAGCACAAACACACACCUGGCAAAUGGUGUGUCUUUCCUAUCAUCAGCUAAGAUCUCAGCAACAG
rnacentral:lncRNA from 13 species